rnacentral:rRNA from 1 species
UACGUAGGGGGCAAGCGUUGUCCGGAAUCAUUGGGCGUAAAGCGCGUGUAGGCGGCUGAGUAAGUCUGCUCUGAAAGCCCGGGGCUCAACCCCGGGAGGCGGGUGGAUACUGCUCAGCUCGAGUCCGGAAGAGGAGUGUGGAAUUCCUGGUGUAGCGGUGAAAUGCGCAGAUAUCAGGAGGAACACCGGUGGCGAAGGCGGAUCUCUGGGCCAUUACUGACGCUGAGGAGCGAAAGCGUGGGGAGCGAACAGG